CCGACUUUAGCUCAGUUGGAAGAGCGCGAGACUGUAACGGAUAACCCGAUUAUUAAAUAUAGUCGAUCUUGAGGUCGCCUGUUCGAACCAGGCAAGUCGGA